GAAUGUGAGGGUGACCUGGAUGAGAUAUCUGUCACCCUGAUGAUCAUCUGGGUUUAUUUGAGUGAUAUAGCUGUCUAGAUGGGUGUCAUCUUUCUCCCUCACAAUUCCUUGUGUGUCCCUACAAAAGCUACAUACUUCAUCAAAAAGGAUAACCUUCCCUGGUAGGAAAGGACUGUUAUUUGGUCUUAGUUAAGUGUAUGAGUUUCUGGGAUCAUCUAUAUCUGAGUUUUAUUCAACCACAAAGAAGAGUAGAACCAUCAUUUGCAAGAAAAUAAUAU
rnacentral:snRNA from 1 species